rnacentral:rRNA from 1 species
AGCGAACGCUGGCGGCAGGCCUAACACAUGCCAGUCGAACGAACUCUUCGGAGUUAGUGGCGGACGGGUGAGUAACACGUGGGAACGUGCCUUUUGGUUCGGAAUAACUCAGGGAAACUUGUGCUAAUACCGAAUGUGCCCUUCGGGGGAAAGAUUUUUCGCCAUUAAAGCGGCCCGCGUCUGAUUAGCUAGUUGGUGAGGUAACGGCUCACCAAGGCGACGAUCAGUAGCUGGUCUGAGAGGAUGACCAGCCACACUGGGACUGAGACACGGCCCAGACUCCUACGGGAGGCAGCAGUGGGGAAUCUUGCGCAAUGGGCGAAAGCCUGACGCAGCCAUGCCGCGUGAAUGAUGAAGGUCUUAGGAUUGUAAAAUUCUUUCACCGGGGACGAUAAUGACGGUACCCGGAGAAGAAGCCCCGGCUAACUUCGUG